AACAGGCUCCACUGACAAAACAAGUCGCAUAUAAUGCUUCACAUGCAAGGGCUCUUACUCAAAGUCGCCACAAAACAUUUGAGUGUCCUACAAGAAGAACAAUGAACGUCAACGCAGAUGGUGGGUACGACUCUACAAGCGAACAUGAAUAAGAAUCACUGGAUCAUGUGGCUAUGAACCGCCAAGUAAAUGAUACGAAAGAUGGUCAAGUCUUUUGUGACAAUGAUUCCAGCCCAGCUCUUGCUGUCUCAAAGAUUUUGACACUUCAACAAAACGAAGAUGACCAACAAUGCCAUAUCUUCCAAACCAAAACAGGCAUACGAGGAAGAUCAAUCAAAGUGAUAAUCGAUAGAGGAAGUUGCCAUAAUUUGGUUAGUGAAGAGCUUCGUUCCAAAUUGCAUCUAUCAAGAAGAAGCGUCCGCGCCCAUAUAGAAGGUUCAAUGGUUGAGCGACUCCGACAGCAUAUAAGUGGAGCACACAGUGGGAGUAUCUUCCAAGAUCGGCGCCUAUGAAGACACAUUGGAAUGUGAUGUAGUUCUCAUGCCCACAUCUCAUCUUCUAUUUGGACGUCCACGGCAAUAUGACCGUGGAGUAAUGCAUAAUGGACGCACAAACCAUUAUAGCUUCAAGUGGAAGGGCAAGAAGUAUGUACUUCGAUCUAUGACCCCAAGUCAAGUCAUCGCCAGCAAACACCAAUCUCCGAACCAUCUUGGAGAGUCUAGUGAGCGAGAGAGCCACCAUAAAGUGGGUGAAACAAGCCAAAAAUGAGUACCUCCAUGAGGAGUGGUUAAAAUGAUGUAGUUCUCUUAGCCAAAAAGAAAGACUUGUGAGAAGUGAGUGAGCGCCCAUCACAUGUUCUUCAGUUUGUACUCCUGUACAAAGAUGGGGUCAUUAUGAUUAACAACCCACAACAUCUUCCUAGUGCUUUGUCAAAUUUGUUGCAGGAAUUCAAGGGUGUGUUUCCCUCUGAGCUACCACCAAGACUACCUCCUCUACAAGGGAUCGAACACUGCAUCAACCUCAUCCCCGGCACACCCCUACCGAAUUGACCUUCAUACCGUGUCAACCCUGAGGACACCAAAGAGAUACAACGGCAAGUUUAACACCUCUAGAA
rnacentral:lncRNA from 1 species